GCCCAGAACACACAUUUUCAAAGGAGAAUAACUGACUGUAGCAUUGUUUUUCAGAUAAACAGGACAGUGCAGAGACGACAGAAAGCAAAGUGGAAGAGAAAGAGCUGGACAGGAUCAGGAAAGGUCCGCGAGCCUGGACUUGAACUCGGGAUGCCUAAAGCACAACGGCGUGGUGUAAAUACAUAAGCACAGGUGGGAGAGGGGCCUGCAAGGACAUGACUCUCUGUUUUAUGUGGGUAACCUCACACAAACACAGACAUACUGCACAUGGCACAUAAGGUUUUGUUGUUUGAACUCAUCCUUUGGUGUUUUUUAGACGUAUAGAGCUCUUCAUGCCAUUUGGAGUGAAAAAAUAUCAAUGCUGUCCUUGCUAAUGUCAUCCAAUGUUCCCACUCGCUUUGUAUAAAUUGAU
ensembl:lncRNA